GACGAACGCUGGCGGCGUGCCUAAUACAUGCAAGUUGAGCGCUGAAGGUUGGUACUUGUACCAACUGGAUGAGCAGCGCACGGGUGAGUAACGCGUGGGGAAUCUGCCUUUGAGCGGGGGACAACAUUUGGAAACGAAUGCUAAUACCGCAUAAAAACUUUAAACACAAGUUUUAAGUUUGAAAGAUGCAAUUGCAUCACUCAAAGAUGAUUCCGCGUCGUAUUAGCUAGUUGGUGAGGUAAAGGCUCACCAAGGCGAUGAUACAUAGCCGACCUGAGAGGGUGGUCGGCCACAUUGAGACGGUGACACGGCCCAAACUCCUACAGGAAGCAGCAGUAGGGAGUCUUCGGCCAUGGACGGAAGUCUGACCGAGCAACGCCGCGUGAGUGAGGAAGGUUUUCGGAUCGUAAAACUCUGUUGGUAGGGAAGAACGUUGGUGAGAGUGGAAAGCUCAUCGAGUGACGGUAACUACCCAGAAAGGGACGGCUAACUACGUG
rnacentral:rRNA from 1 species